rnacentral:rRNA from 1 species
GAUGAACGCUGGCGGCGUGCCUAAUACAUGCAAGUCGAGCGAACGGACGAGAAGCUUGCUUCUCUGAUGUUAGCGGCGGACGGGUGAGUAACACGUGGAUAACCUACCUAUAAGACUGGGAUAACUUCGGGACACCGGAGCUAAUACCGGAUAAUAUUUUGAACCGCAUGGUUCAAUAGUGAAAGACGGUCUUGCUGUCACUUAUAGAUGGAUCCGCGCUGCAUUAGCUAGUUGGUAAGGUAACGGCUUACCAAGGCAACGAUGCAUAGCCGACCUGAGAGGGUGAUCGGCCACACGGGAACGGAGACACGGUCCAGACUCCUACGGUAGGCAGCAGUAGGGAAUCUUCCGCAAUGGGCGAAAGCCUGACGGAGCAACGCCGCGUGAGUGAUGAAGGUCUUCGGAUCGUAAAACUCUGUUAUUAGGGAAGAACAUAUGUGUAAGGAACUGUGCACAUCGUGACGGUACCUAAUCAGAAAGCCACGGCUAACUACGUG